UACCUGAUUGAUUCUGUCAGCGCGAUAUGCUCAAGUAAAAGAUUAAGCCAUGCAUGCUUUGAUUCAUAAAUGAAAUUGCGUACGGCUCAUUAGAGCAGAUAUCACCUUUCUCGGAAUCCUGAAAAGGAUAACUGCGGAAAUUCUGGAGCUAAUACAUGCGACUAUACUCCAACGCAAGGCGGGGUGCAAUUAUUAGAACAGACCAAACGUUUUCGGACGUUGUUUGUUGACUCUGAAUACCGUCGUUUACUGUCAGUUUCGACUGACUCUAUCCGAGAAGGGUGUCUGCCCUUUCAACUAGAUGGUAAUCUAUUGGACUACCAUGGUUGUUACGGGUAACGGAGAAUUAGGGUUCGACUCCGGAGAGGGAGCCUUAGAAACGGCUACCACGUCCAAGGAAGGCAGCAGGCGCGAAACUUAUCCACUGUUGAGUAUGAGAUAGUGACUAAAAAUAUAAAGACUCAUCCUUUUGGAUGAGUUAUUUCAAUGAGUUGAAUAUAAAUUAUUCUUCGAGUAGCAAGGAGAGGGCAAGUCUGGUGCCAGCAGCCGCGGUAAUUCCAGCUCUCCUAGUGUAUCUCGUUAUUGCUGCGGUUAAAAAGCUCGUAGUUGGAUCUAGGUUACGUGCCGCAGUUCGCAAUUUGCGUUAACUGUGGUCGUGACUUCUAAUUUGCUGGUUUGAGGUUGGGUUCGCCCUUCAACCGCCAGCAGGUUUACCUUGAAUAAAUCAGAGUGCUCAAUACAGGCGCUUGCUUGAAUAGCUCAUCAUGGAAUAAUGAAACAGGACUUCGGUUCUUUUUGUUGGUUCUAGAAUUGAUCUAAUGGUUAAGAGGGACAAAC
rnacentral:ncRNA from 1 species